ACUUAGUUUUUCAUGUAUGUUCAGACACUGUGGACGUCCAAAAGCAAAACUCCUGUGAGGAACCGGGACAUCCAGGAUGGUGAGGAGCUUCCCAGUCCCCACCUGAGGACGGCACAGAGGAAGACUGGAACAGAAAACACACGGAGGAAAGCAGGUUGAACAGCUAGCAGUGUUCUAGCAGUCGGAUCACAUUGGAACAGAAUCCAUCCACACAUGUUUGGAGGAGCUGAAGAAGAGGAUGGAGCACACAGUCCACUAAGCAGGAGAAACAUGGCUCCUCUAUUUGUCUCUCCAUCAUUCUGGAGUCUAAAAAACGUUGACAACCCCGCAGCUAAACCAUCAGUCUGCUCCACCCAGUAGAAGAAGGUAAUGAACCUUUAUUGCUUCCAGAUGUUCAUCAGUAUUAGUGAAGAUACUAAAAACAGAUCCAGAACAAACAGAUACAAAAGCUUCAACCAUCCCAUCAAGGUGGUCUAACCUUUAAUCUUCAUCUUUCCAUCAUGAAUUGAUGUUCAACUCUAUUUGUAUCUCUGUAACCAAACCUUUACCAGAACCAGAAGUUCUGACUUUUCCAUUAAACCACAGAGAAACAGUUAAGAAGCAGCUUCUGAUCCAAUAUAGGA